rnacentral:rRNA from 1 species
UGGGGAAUAUUGCACAAUGGGCGCAAGCCUGAUGCAGCCAUGCCGCGUGUGUGAAGAAGGCCUUCGGGUUGUAAAGCACUUUCAGCGAGGAGGAAGGUGGUGGACUUAAUACGUUCAUCAAUUGACGUUACUCGCAGAAGAAGCACCGGCUAACUCCGUGCCAGCAGCCGCGGUAAUACGGAGGGUGCAAGCGUUAAUCGGAAUUACUGGGCGUAAAGCGCACGCAGCGGUUUGUUAAGUCAGAUGUGAAAUCCCCGGGCUCAACCUGGGAACUGCAUUUGAAACUGGCAAGCUAGAGUCUCGUAGAGGGGGUAGAAUUCCAGGUGUAGCGGUGAAAUGCGUAGAGAUCUGGAGGAAUACCGGUGGCGAAGGCGGCCCCCUGGACGAAGACUGACGCUCAGGUGCG